GAGUAUUGAAGCAAUGGUUAGCAUGUAGCAAUCACAUGUUUUAUUAUUAUUAUUAUUAUUAUUAUUAUUAUUAUUAUUAUUUGGAUGUAAUGAUGUAACUUAGUUGUAUUCCAACUAAGUUUGUUAGUGGUAGUAGGUGGUGAUUUAUUUUAAGUGGAUGUAAUGAUGAAACUUAGUUGUAUUCCAACUAAGUUUGUUAGUGGUAGUAGGAGGUGAUUUAUUUUAAGUGGAUGUAAUGAUGAAACUUAGUUGUAUUCCAACUAAGUUGUCAAGUUGUAAGCUUGUAUAAAUAGGCUUUAUGCCAUUUUAAAAAAAAAUGAAUGAAUUCAAUCAAGAUUUCAUCCAUAUACUCUCUAUUUUAGCUUUGCUUAAAAUUUAUUUCAUUUUUCUUCUUUGUUUCUGCCGCAAGUCUCGAUUCUUGCUCGGCAAGCUUUUUGUUGAACCUUGCUAUUUGUUGCACUUAGCUCCAACAAUU
rnacentral:lncRNA from 1 species